AGCCGUCAUUAUUUGUUUUUUGUGUCGGAAGAACCACACGUGUUUAAAAUUUUGCCCUUACUAAGGACAAAAGUGAAGUACUCAAUUCUUCGGAAGGAUAUAUUCAUUCAAAGAUUAUAAUCUACAAUCCUUGCAAAAAUUAUUGAGAGAGCCAUGUGACGAAAAAUCCAUAUAUUAGAAUGGAAUUGAGAAGAUUCAACAAGUUACGUUCCUAUUGGCAGAAGAAUGAUGCAAACGAAUCUAGUACGCUUUGAGAUGAAGCACGAAACAGUUGUCAGAGAUAACUUUUGUAGAAGACCCCCAUUUUUUACAAUGGAAUGCCGGUCUGGCUGCCAGAUAAGUGCCUGUUGUUGUAAUGGCUAGCUGUCCACAGUACAGGCUGCAGAUUAUGUUGUAUAACCUUCAUUAUAGAUGCCUGUGGUUAACACAGACUUUUAUCCGAAGCAUGGAACCCUGUGAUCAGACGGAUCUUCAUGCCCAUAAUGGAUGGAUCAUCCGCAGUUAGGAUGCUUGUUUUAGACAGUUGCUAUGCCGUUGUCGGUAGACUAUGAUAAUUUUCACAAUGGAAUGACUAUCCGAAGUGGAGAUGUGUUGUUGAACAGAUGCUAGUUGUUAUUACGCUUCUUUGUUUUCAGUUCGAAUUCCUGGCAUUAGCUAUAAUUGUGUUAAUACAAUUAGGAAAUCGUUUGGUAAUGCUGUGACCUCAGAGAAGAUAGCCUUUUCUACUUUGACAGAUCUUCAAAAUGUGAAGACAAUCCUGAAACUAGAAAUAUAAUACAGAUUUGUUAAAAUCAAUUUAGGAAUGGAAAUAGGAGAGGGAGCCAACACAUUGAAUAGCCAAAUGGCUAUAUAUAGGUGAAAUCCUCAAUGGUCGCUUGAAACACUUCAGGCAUGCAUGUGGAGAGCUAUUUCAGAUAAAAUUACAAAAAAUGUUUAAUUGUCUCAAACAGGUGUAACCAAACAAUGGAAAAGGAAGUAAUACCAAAAACGCUGAGUUGUCAUGAGUGUCUCAAACAGUGUUUAAGAUACUCAAAAACUUGUUGAAAUCCCAUUUUUGUAAAAAGACCAUAAUAUGGUUUCGAAGGGAACAUCCUUUCAUUGUUUUCUAGCUGUGCUCAGCAUUCAAUUCUGAUUUAAAAGGUAGGAAAAGAAAUUCGAAAAUAUAACAACGAGAAACUGUGUA